rnacentral:rRNA from 1 species
GACGAACGCUGGCGGCGUGCUUAACACAUGCAAGUCGAACGGAAAGGCCCUGCUUUUGUGGGGUGCUCGAGUGGCGAACGGGUGAGUAACACGUGAGUAACCUGCCCUUGACUUUGGGAUAACUUCAGGAAACUGGGGCUAAUACCGGAUAGGAGCUCCUGCUGCAUGGUGGGGGUUGGAAAGUUUCGGCGGUUGGGGAUGGACUCGCGGCUUAUCAGCUUGUUGGUGGGGUAGUGGCUUACCAAGGCUUUGACGGGUAGCCGGCCUGAGAGGGUGACCGGCCACAUUGGGACUGGGAUACGGCCCAGACUCCUACGGGAGGCAGCAGUGGGGAAUAUGGCACAAUGGGCGGAAGCCUGAUGCAGCAACGCCGCGUGCGGGAUGACGGCCUUCGGGUUGUAAACCGCUUUCGCCUGGGACGAAGCGUGAGUGACGGUAAUGGGUAAAGAAGCACCGGCUAACUACGUG